CCCGUUGUAACAUUUGAACAGACGGUCGGACAUUUUUGGGCUUAUUAUAUAAAAUGUAGAGCUCGUCGAGAGGAACAUUUUAUACGCUGUAUGUAUGCAGCAAAGUCUUAUAGUUUUCCUAAUAUGUAAGCUUGAAAUUGCAGCGUAAUUUUAUUCUGCACUCUGUGACCUUUGACCUUGGGUGCAUAUUAAAGGUCACAUGAAUUAAAGAUUAUUGGUGAAGGUCCCAAGUCUCUACAACUUCCGGUUCUGGAAAUACAAUUUUUCUAAAAUUGUACACAAUUUUUGCAAGGGUAAUAACUCCUUAUAAGGGUUAAUAACAAAAUGAUUGUAUAUGUUCAUUAACAUUGCCAUCUGUUCCUGUACAUGUUGCCGUUUUCAAAUCAAUUCUAUCUCUAAUACUUUUUGAGAAAAAUGCAAAGGACAGAAAUUGCUUCAAGGGGAUAUAACUCUCAUAGGGGACGAUGCAAUCCUAUUCAACCUCAUAUGGUAAUACAUUAUGAUGAGAUCUACCUAUUGUCCAAAUAAGGUAAUGAUAUCUUGAAAAACAACGAGAGGGGGCCAUGUUGAAAAAAAACUAAUAAAAGGGAGAUAACUUAUAAAGGGGAUGAUGAAAUCCUUAACAGGGUCAUCUGGUUAUACCUCAUGGUGAGGUUUAUCGAUGGUCCAUGUUUGGUCUUGAUAACUUCAAAACAAACAUAGGGAGGCCAUGCCAAAAAAAUGUUGGAAGAAAAAAAAGAAAAAAAGAAAAAACACUAGUAUCUCAAUUGUUUGUAAAACAAUUGAAAGGUCUUUCCUGUAAAAGUGAUGUUUUCGUAAUGUACUUUGUACGACCUUUCGUUUGAUAUACGACAAGCAUACCUUUUGAAACUUUUCGCUUUUUACACUUAAUGACCUCAUCCUCCUACAUUUUUGAGAUCGGAAGUAUGAUAUAUGUAACACAGGGUAGAUGAGCUUUCAUUUGAUAUGCGACAACACCAUGUUCUAAAAAGUUUGAUUUUUGCACUUAAUAACCCAUCCAACCAAUUUUUGGAGGUUGGGAAUUUGAUAUUUCAAAUGUACACAUCAUGACCUUUCAUUUGAUAUACAACAACCCUAUCGUAAAAGAAAAUUUAUGAUUUGCACUCAAUGACCCCAUCCAACCAAUUUUUGGGGGACGUCAAUUUGGAAUUUGAAAUGUACGCUUUAUGUUCUUUCAUUUGAUAUGCGACAACCUUACCAUCUGAGAAAUUUGAAUGUUUGCACUAAAUGACCCCACCCUUCCCCCUGGGAUGAAAAGGGGUUUAAAAUUUUCAUUUUUUAAGUAGAGUUUAUUAAGACCUUCAAUUUGAUAUAUCAGAU
rnacentral:lncRNA from 1 species